AAAGCUUUUGUGGUUUUGGAUGGACUCGCGGCCUAUCAGCUUGUUGGUGGGGUAAUGGCCUACCAAGGCGACGACGGGUAGCCGGCCUGAGAGGGUGACCGGCCACACUGGGACUGAGACACGGCCCAGACUCCUACGGGAGGCAGCAGUGGGGAAUAUUGCACAAUGGGCGCAAGCCUGAUGCAGCGACGCCGCGUGAGGGAUGAAGGCCUUCGGGUUGUAAACCUCUUUCAGUAGGGAAGAAGCCGGCCCUUUUGGGUUGGUGACGGUACCUGCAGAAGAAGCGCCGGCUAACUACGUGCCAGCAGCCGCGGUAAUACGUAGGGCGCAAGCGUUAUCCGGAAUUAUUGGGCGUAAAGAGCUCGUAGGCGGUUUGUCGCGUCUGCCGUGAAAGUCCGGGGCUUAACUCCGGAUCUGCGGUGGGUACGGGCAGACUAGAGUGCAGUAGGGGAGACUGGAAUUCCUGGUGUAGCGGUGAAAUGCGCAGAUAUCAGGAGGAACACCGAUGGCGAAGGCAGGUCUCUGGGCUGUAACUGACGCUGUGGAGCGAAAGCAUGGGGAGCGAACAGGAUUAGAUACCCUGGUAGUCCAUGCCGUAAACGUUGGGCACUAGGUGUGGGGGACAUUCCACGUUUUCCGCGCCGUAGCUAACGCAUUAAGUGCCCCGCCUGGGGAGUACGGCCGCAAGGCUAAAACUCAAAGGAAUUGACGGGGGCCCGCACAAGCGGCGGAGCAUGCGGAUUAAUUCGAUGCAACGCGAAGAACCUUACCAAGGCUUGACAUGAACCGGAAUGAUGCAGAGAUGUGUCAGCCACUUGUGGCCGGUUUACAGGUGGUGCAUGGUUGUCGUCAGCUCGUGUCGUGAGAUGUUGGGUUAAGUCCCGCAACGAGCGCAACCCUCGUUCCAUGUUGCCAGCGGGUUAUGCCGGGGACUCAUGGGAGACUGCCGGGGUCAACUCGGAGGAAGGUGGGGACGACGUCAAAUCAUCAUGCCCCUUAUGUCUUGGGCUUCACGCAUGCUACAAUGGCCGGUACAAAGGGUUGCGAUACUGUGAGGUGGAGCUAAUCCCAAAAAGCCGGUCUCAGUUCGGAUUGAGGUCUGCAACUCGACCUCAUGAAGUUGGAGUCGCUAGUAAUCGCAGAUCAGCAACGCUGCGGUGAAUACGUUCCCGGGCCUUGUACACA
rnacentral:rRNA from 1 species